rnacentral:rRNA from 1 species
CUUGGUCAGGAUGAACGCUAGCGGCGUGCUUAACACAUGCAAGUCGAACGGUGCUUAAUGAAACCUAGUGAUUUAAGCACAGUGGCGGACGGGUGAGUAACGCGUGGGUAACCUGCCGCAUGCAGGGGGACAACAGAGGGAAACUUCUGCUAAUACCGCAUAAGCGCACGGGAUCGCAUGAUCCGGUGUGAAAAGAUUUGUCGGCAUGCGAUGGACCCGCGUCUGAUUAGGCAGUUGGUGAGGUAACGGCCCACCAAACCUACGAUCAGUAGCCGGCCUGAGAGGGUGAACGGCCACAUUGGGACUGAGACACGGCCCAAACUCCUACGGGAGGCAGCAGUGGGGAAUAUUGCACAAUGGGGGAAACCCUGAUGCAGCCGACGCCGCGUGAGUGAAGAAGCAUUUCGGUGCGUAAAGCUCUGUCAGCAGGAAAGAAAAUGACGGUACCUGACCAAGAAGCCCCGGCUAACUACGUGCCAGCCGCUGC